UUUUUUUUAUUAAGGGUUUGUUUCUUUUCUUUAACUACCACCAGCAUAAUGGAACACAGUGUCGGACUGGGCCGGCCGAACCAUGUUCCCCUGAUCGGGCACCCCCUUAAGAAAAACUUUUGUUGCUGCUUUCCUCUACACAAGCAUGCUGUGCAAAGGCAUUCGCGCAGCCCCGCGCCACACCGGCGUUCACGCAGAGGGAAGCCGGGAGGGGGCUCCCCGAUGACUGCCUGGAGGGGUCUUCAUGUGGCAGUCCCUGUGGGCCCCCAUUACUCCAGUCCGACCCUGAAUCUGCAUGUCAAUGUUUAUCUAGUUUUCUUUUUGUUCUCUUGUCUGUUAGCCUGUAUCUGUCUCUCUUCCUUUAGUGUGUAUAUGCCGGCUGAUGAAUUCUGAAGUGAGAGUCAGUGUUAAGCCCAGCUCUCUGUUCUGGUGGAUCAGUCUGAUCAUAUGUUACAUUUCUUUUGUCUCUCCUUUAGGAGUGUAGGUGUAGGAGAUGUUCAGCGAGGGCAAAAUAUGGUUAGAAAAUCUUUUCAACUCGAAGCUGUGGAGAAAACCUUAGCAGGACUGAGGCUCUUCAAACCCAGAUGUCUUCCGAAAGGGGGUACAUGCAGAUGAAGAACUGCUGGCAAAAGUCACCGCAGCUCUACUGAGUUUGUGAUCACGGUCGCAUCACACUGUGCAACAGGCUCCAAACCUUCAAGUCAAGAGAGCAGGUCCAAGAGUAAAGUCAUUGGUAAAGGACAAGAACAUCCAGGCGCUACGUUUCCCAGAAAGAUACAGACGUAAUGCUCUCCAAGUACUAAUAAGGCACCAUAGGAGAUCUGUAUAGGAAUAAUCAUCACCAACUCCUCGGCUUCCUGGAAUUCAACUAGAAAUGUCCGAAUGUUGCAGUAGGUUAGCAUCUAGUAGCUGUACAGCAUUUUGGAAUGUGCUGUUGGUCUCCCAGGCACAAGAAAAUACAUGAAGUCAAUUACAGUAAGUGGUACAUGUAGUGCAUGCCUGACUUGCUUUUUAGUCAAUGUAUAGAGGCUGAUUGUUCAAGCUCAGGGUCAAAUCCUGUCCUGAUGUGAUAUACAAGUUCAUCGUAAUGAAGAUGCUCAGCUACGGCUCCGCUCCAGGAUUCUGCGUCUGUUUCCUUAGGCUGAGUCUCAUGCACCGUGGACAGCUGGUGGAGUUAUCAUAAUAACAGUCCCUAAGAGGAAAAGAAAAAAAUAUCUUCAGCAAAAUGAAAGGUUAAACAAACUAGUCUCAAACUAUGUACCGUCUAUAAGUACAGUUGUGUUAUCAUUUAGUGCUACCGGUUAUAUGAAGCUGUAGACACAAGUAUAUCAUGUGUGUGUCUACAGCUCUGGAAGACCCAAGGUCACGAGGAUCUACAGUUGACUGUAUGCUUUUUAAUUAAUUACUAAUCCUGCUUCUCCCACAAAUUAAACAGAUGUUGUAUAUUUACUAGAUGCCACAGUAAUCUUGAUAUUGUUCUUUGUUGAUGAAAACAUGGGCAAUGUGGCUUAGACUUAGAAGUUAAUGCUAUAAUUAUGUGUGCCAAGUUAAGACUAUAGGGCUCAUUUACAAUGCCCAACACAAUCAACCAUUUUCUGCAGUAUGCCCACUGCAUGGGUAUUGUGCAAAUAGCCAUAGGCCUAUGAACUCUUUUUCAGGGACCUGCCUUUCCUAAAACUGUAUUGGUGAAGGGCAGGGCCGCUUCUAGCUUGCAUGUCAUUUAGAAGCGUGAAGUACUGAGCUGCAGGAGGCACAGGCUGCAUUGGGGUCAGAUCCAUACCGAGCUCUUGCAAUUGCACCCCUAGGGGUCAUAACCCCUAUAUAUUGCAACAUAUAUUGCAUGUGCCUUAAAGGAACAGUUCAGUGUGAAAAUAAAAACUAGGUGAAUAGAUAGGCUGUGCAAAAUAAAAAAUGUUUCUAAUAUAGUUAGUUAGCCAAAAAUGUAAUGUAUAAAGGCUGGACUGACUGGAUCCCUAACAUAAUAGCCAGAACACAACUUCCUGCUUUUGAAUAGGGGUUAGUCUCUGAAACGUUUAUGAUUAAGGGAGCCAUCCCUGAAAUAUUUCGGACAUUGAUGAUGUUACUCUAUUGAUAUAAUAAACAUGCAGGGGUUUGUCCCGCUUCACUUGC